UACGUAGGGUGCAAGCGUUAAUCGGAAUUACUGGGCGUCAAGCGUGCGCAGGCGGUUAUUCAAGAUAGGUGUGAAAUCCCAGGGCUUAACCUUGGAACUGCAUUUGUGACUGCAUAGCUAGAGUACGGUAGAGGGGGAUGGAAUUCCGCGUGUAGCAGUGAAAUGCGUAGAUAUGCGGAGGAACACCGAUGGCGAAGGCAAUCCCCUGGACCUGUACUGACGCUCAUGCACGAAAGCGUGGGGAGCAAACAGG
rnacentral:rRNA from 1 species